rnacentral:rRNA from 1 species
CGGCAACAGCUCAAAUUUGAAACCUGGCGCUUGCGUCCGGAUUGUAAUUUGCAGAGGAUGCUUCUGGGCAGCGGCCGUUCUAAGUUCCUUGGAACAGGACGUCAUAGAGGGUGAGAAUCCCGUAUGUGACCGGCGCGCACCCUCCACGUAGCUCCUUCGA